rnacentral:rRNA from 1 species
GACGAACGCUGGCGGCGUGCCUAAUACAUGCAAGUAGAACGCUGAAGAGAGGAGCUUGCUCUUCUUGGAUGAGUUGCGAACGGGUGAGUAACGCGUAGGUAACCUGCCUUGUAGCGGGGGAUAACUAUUGGAAACGAUAGCUAAUACCGCAUAACAAUGGAUGACCCAUGUCAUUUAUUUGAAUGGGGCAAAUGCUCCACUACAAGAUGGACCUGCGUUGUAUUAGCUAGUAGGUGAGGUAACGGCUCACCUAGGCGACGAUACAUAGCCGACCUGAGAGGGUGAUCGGCCACACUGGGACUGAGACACGGCCCAGACUCCUACGGGAGGCAGCAGUAGGGAAUCUUCGGCAAUGGGGGCAACCCUGACCGAGCAACGCCGCGUGAGUGAAGAAGGUUUUCGGAUCGUAAAGCUCUGUUGUAAGUCAAGAACGAGUGUGAGAGUGGAAAGUUCACACUGUGACGGUAGCUUACCAGAAAGGGACGGCUAACUACGUG